AAUACGUAUAUAUAUUAAUUGUCGAUAAAUAUUAUUACUACUCUGAGAUAUAUACAGCAUUGUCAGCGAAUUUAUAAAAUAAGACACACAGAGUUUGCUUACACAUAGACAAAGGAUAGAUUAAAUAAUAAUAAUAACAGGAACAAUCAAAUGAAAAGAAGAUAUAUUUAAUAUAUAAUAUUUCGACUAUCAAUAAUAUUUCUAACACUUUAAAAGAUUUUUAACUGAUUUUUUACUCUAAUACCACUUUAAUCUAAUAAAAAUAUUGUUAUUCAGUCGAUGGAAGAAGAAAAGUGCAUCAUCAUUUGUUUGAUUGGAUUCACCACUAAAAACCCAAAGAUUUGUAUCAGACAUAAGGGUAUUCAGUCACUGCUGAACUUGUGUGAACUUUGACAAAACUAAAAUUUAAAAGAGAGACUGGAAAGAGAUGUUCAAUCAGCAACACAAAUAUCAGUCCAUAAAUCCUGUAGAAAAGAUUUUACAGAUAAAACAAGAAGAACAGAUGAAGCAACUGCUAAAGAUGAGCCUCAACUAAAACUGCUACGAUCAGGCAGUGAAUUGUUUGAUUUCAAGCAACAGUGUUCCUAUGCGGAAGAAGCUCCACAAUAGAUACAAGCAUCCGGACCGAAGCACAAUCCAUGUAGUAACAUUUUUGGAUUUCCGCAUGAGUUUGCUCGAAAAGUGUAAACGGAGAAAGGAUACUUGGAGUGAGGAGGUGCACAAUAGGCUGAACUAUUGUAAUUAUCUUGUUGCAGAUGAAGGCAGAUAUCACAAAUCGUGUCUUCAAAGACUCAUGACAGAGAAGAAAUCAACAGAUCUAGACGGAGGAGAAAGAGGACGCCCAAGAGACGAAGGCAGGCUUUACUGGUUUGAAAUACUCUGUAUAUGGCUAGAUGUUGAUUUAGACGCAAAACUUCACACUUGUAAAGAAUUGUAUGAAAAAAUGAGCAGCUUUGCAGGUGAUGAAAGUGUGUGUAUAGUGCCAAGAGACUAAUGCAGAAACUUCAGGAGAGAUAUGGAAAUAAAUUGCAUUUUACAGAGGUUGAUGGAAAAUAAAAUGUUACGUGUUUUCAAGGCAUGGGAGAUUUUUACCUGGAUGAAAUAUGGAAUGAAGAAAGGCGGAAUAAAGGAUAAAGAAAAAGAUGCCGAAAGGAUAGUUAGAACUGCUGCUAAAGUUAUCAUGGACAAAUACAAUAAACAAAACAUGACACCUCAAAUUAUCCGAAAUAUAUGGAUACAUCAGAUGUAACAAAUGAAUUGAUUCCUAAGCUUCUGAAGACAUUCCUACAGGUGCUGAUAAAGUCAAAUCUGAAGCAAAAUAGUAUUGGUCAAGCAGCAAAACUUAAAUCUUCUUUGAUGACAAUACAAUUUGGUUUAGCUGUCCAGUUGGAUCACGUCUUUGGAUCGAAAUCGCUUCUUGAUGAGCUUUAUCGUCUAGUAUUCUGUAACACCAAUACUGAAGUCAACCGAUUCCACCAAUCUUCUAUGGCAACAGAAGAUGCCCCCACUGCCCUUGGAUACACGAUAGAAUGACAACAAUAACUGUGAACACACAUAAGACGACCAACCGACACGCAGAAUUAGGCAAAACCCGUAUGAAGUGAGACAACGAUGAUUUGGAGAAGAUUCAACCCUGAAUUGAAAUUCAUAACCCAUUUGAUACAGGAGCUACAGCAACUGAAGGAGAUGGAACCAACGCAGAAAGUGUUGGUGAAACAAUACAGCAUCAAGUAGAUAGAAUUUCGUAUUCAGAGUCAAAAAUCAAGAAGAAAGAUCGGAUGUAGACAUUGGAGGCACUAGAGGUGGGAGUAAGAAUCGACAAGGAGAAAGUGCAUGUCGACCCAUUGCUACUAUUUUCUAGGCUACUUGUACUGAUCGAGAGAGAAGAGGAUAUACGAAGCUAUUUCCAGUACGAGCUCACAGCCGUACCUACUUGUUUCAGAAUUCGAUGUAGUAGACAAAGAAACGUGGAGAAUUGAAGAUUUGGAUAUUUCAACUGGGAAUGUCAUCACAGGUCAUAUCUUGUUCAUUCAUGCCUGGUCAAAACUGAAUACUUUGAGUAACCAUUAAUAGCAUGAAAAACAAGUUCCCUAAAGAAGUUUGAAACAAACCGUAUCUUUUAAGAAUUUGCUGAAGUAUUUGAGGACAAAAUAGCCACAGCAGAGGAAGUAGAGUAAAAAAGACUUGAAUUGUUAAUGUUUAGUGGAAAAGGAAACUGGAUUAUGGAAGAUUUGCGUUAUCAUCAGUUCAUGAAGGCAGCAGCGACGUCUAAAACGGCAAUCAACCCACAGUCUCAUGCUCCAACCUAAAAUGCUGCAAUGUAUCACUUUUUGCGAAUCCAUCUACAGGUCAGUGAAUGGAAACAUUGAUGGGCGUUGAACUAAGUCCACCUGGUUUGGACUGGAAACUAUCCAAUAACAGUUACGAGCAUAUCAUGACGGAUUUUGGCACGGCUCCAGAUAAUAUUCUUCGCUUCAUACGAUGCAAUUCUAAUGUAUCCAAGAUAAGUCUUUGCAAUACCAAGGUUUGUAGCUGCAGGCGACACGGGCUUUCAUAUGUUUCAGCUUGUGGUAAUUGCAAUGGAGUUGAAUGCGAUAAUUGUGACCAUGAAGAAGUUUCAUCAGACAAAGACAGUGUUGGAAGUGACGAGGAAGCAG
rnacentral:lncRNA from 1 species